GAUGAACGCUGGCGGCGUGCCUAAUACAUGCAAGUCGAGCGAACAGACGAGGAGCUUGCUCCUCUGACGUUAGCGGCGGACGGGUGAGUAACACGUGGAUAACCUACCUAUAAGACUGGGAUAACUUCGGGAAACCGGAGCUAAUACCGGAUAAUAUAUUGAACCGCAUGGUUCAAUAGUGAAGGACGGUUUUGCUGUCACUUAUAGAUGGAUCCGCGCCGCAUUAGCUAGUUGGUAAGGUAACGGCUUACCAAGGCAACGAUGCGUAGCCGACCUGAGAGGGUGAUCGGCCACACUGGAACUGAGACACGGUCCAGACUCCUACGGGAGGCAGCAGUAGGGAAUCUUCCGCAAUGGGCGAAAGCCUGACGGAGCAACGCCGCGUGAGUGAUGAAGGGCUUCGGAUCGUAAAACUCGGUUAUUAGGGAAGAACAAAUGUGUAAGUAACUAUGCACGUCUUGACGGUACCUAAUCAGAAAGCCACGGCUAACUACGUGC
rnacentral:rRNA from 1 species